rnacentral:misc_RNA from 1 species
GGAUUCUAUUAAUUAGGAGGUUUAGAAUUUAUUAUUUAAGAAAUUCUAUUAGGUAUAGAAUUUUAUAGGUAGGAUUUGUUUUAUUUUACUAGUUUGAGUUUUUCAUUAUUCGUAGUUUGUUUAGGUUUAGUAUUCCUGAUUAGUUUCAAUUAGGAUUAGUUAAUACACUAUAAAUACCUAUGUCUAGGUAUUUUAUUAUGAGAGCUUAUUAUGAUAUUAUUAUUGCGAAUUUAAAAAAGUUUUGAGAAUUCAUUUCUCUAGAGAAUUCGUUUCUCUUCCUUUGAAUCUUGAGAAUUCAUUUCUCUUGGUUCUUGUGUUCUUCUUGUUCUACAUCAGGUGACUUACCUUAUUUUCUUUUAGUGACUACUUUUUAUAGGAGUGUGCUGUCUUUUAUCAGAGCUCAAACUUAUUUUGUUUCGAACAUGAUAUAAUUUUUUUCUAGACUCUUGAUUUAGAAGUGCAAGUUUGCCUAUUGAUGGAAUCUUCAUGGCAGAGGCUUAAAUUGUUUGAUAUGUCUUAAUAGCCAACAUAUUUUAUCUUGCAGAUUUGUUAGAGGCAGGGAGGAAAUUGCGGACACUAACUUUCUAAUACAUUUCUGGAACGAAUGGAUCAGGGUACUCUAACUUUUGUGCUGAUCAUUUUCUCCACUUUGCAAUGUAUAAUAUAUUGGGGCAUUGCUCAAAGUUUUGUUGUGGAGAAAAAGUAGUGUUGAGUGGAAAUGGAAUCCUAGAAAUGAGAUGUUUAUGUAGAAUUCAAAGCAAUGGGUUGUAAGUUUUAGUGGUCUUUUGUCAAAUUUGGACAUUUUGAGUUUUUU